CUCUUUUUUCUUUUUUUCUUUCUCUUUUUCAAGGUCUCCCUCUGUCACCCAGGCUGGAGUGCAGUGGUGCAAUCAGCUCACUGCAGCCUCAACCUCCAGGGCUCAAGUGAUCCUCCCACCUCAACCUCCUGAAUAGCUGGGACUACAGGCGCACACCACCACACCCGGCUAAUUUUUGUAUUUUUUGGUAGAGACGGUUUUGCCAUGUUGCCCAGGCUGGUCUCAAACUCCUGGGCUCAAGUGAUCCUCUCUCCUUGGCCUCCCAAAGUGCUCCUUGGCCUCCCAAAGUGCUGGGAUUACAGGCAUGAGUCACUGCGCCCAGCCCCUCUCCUCUUACUGAUUCCACAGGGCUGUCUCAGGAUGCUGGUGGCACGGGGCAGAGAGGGCAUGGUGACUGUUCAUGGACACAGCAGCCCCUCGAGGAGGAGGCUGGAGCCAUCCUCAUAUGGAGGAGAAGCAGGCAUGGUGGUGGCCCUAGCCCUAGGGAAGGGUGGGCCGCAC
rnacentral:lncRNA from 1 species